rnacentral:lncRNA from 1 species
AUUGGUUUAAUUUCAUGGGUGUCAUUUCCUUCAAGAAAUCUCUCUCUGAGCAGCAGCCCGACGAAUGCCUGAUAAAACAUAUUUUCCUACGGUAAUGAUUUUAUGGACCCAUAAGUCAUGAAUUUAUUAUGAUCUCAGCCCCUGCUGCUGAUUGCUGUAAAAUGCAAAGUAAUUAACAGCAAGCGGUAGCAGCUAUUCCCACCUGGUAGCGUGUUCUUGGGUACGCUGAUGGGUUUGAUUAAAGUAAUGGCUAAAGUGUACAGCCCGGCUGUAAAAUAUUAGCAUGAUUAAUGCCGUAUCCUAAAUAAGAAACAAAACUAAUGGGCAUGGUUUAAAGAAUUAAAAAUAUAUAUAUAUAUUCCUCUCCCUCCCUCAAGCUAUUGUUCUGGCUCAUUUAUGCUUUCUUUUCUGUUAAAUAAUGUAUGGGCUUCAGGGCCAGGGGGCAGGCUAGAGAUGCAUAUUGCAGUUUCAUAACAUCUUAAGUGCUUGUGUUAAUUUUUCACUCCUCCCUUCUCUUUCCCCUCAACCUGCCAUCUCCCAUUGGAUAGGGGAGAAAGAUAAUCAAGUUUUCUGGUCUUGGCUUGAAGUCAGAUGUGAUUUGAUUUGGAUUGCAGACAGCCUGAGGAAGUGGCUCAGAGGCAACUUGGAGAGUUGGACUUGGUUCCUGGCCUCGCAGAAUAAAAAUCCUCAAACCGUGCUCACAGUUCCAUGGCUGGGGGUGAUCUCCAUUCUGUGUCAGGAGCCUGGAGCCCGGCGAGUUUGCAAAUCACAGAAGGAUCUGCGAAAUAUGCUCAGGUGCUGGCCUGCUUCUCGGGUGGCAAGGAGAAUUGGUUGGGAUGACAGACGGAAAGAGAAGAGGUGCCUCGCAUUCCGUGGAAGGUGCUGAAUUUGAUUUUAAUGCUCUCUCUGUCUCUCUCUGGACUCUCUUCUGUUCUGCCCAAGUGAUCAAGAACGUAUUUUGGCUUUUGAUACAGAGGUGGAAAUACCAAGCCUGACUUGCUCAGUGCCCUGUUGUGACGCCCAACUUCACACGGAGGGAAAUAUUAAAUCAGUAAAAACAACAGACAACACAGCAGCCAAUUUAAAGCAAGAGUUAAAACCAAAUCCAUUGUACAGAAAAGAAGGACUUAAUGGGAAGCUUAAAAGUUAUUUUUAGUAAUGUUUUUGCUGCCUUUUGUUUCCAUUCUGUGCUUGUAUUCAAAGCUUUGUUGACUUCUAGAAACAUAAUUUUCAACACAAGUUAGCCUUUCCUUUUACAGACUCUUUAUAUUUUGUUUAAAAAAAAAAAAGUCUUGGCAAGUUAGAAUAGGUAGGAAGGGAAAGGAAGGUGAAUCCUGCCUAGGUGCCAUUCAUUCUAUUUCAUUUAAUGGCAGGGAUAAGAAGAAAGAAAUGAGAAAAUAGCAUUCAAAAUCUUCACAGCUCUUUGAUUUUUUUGACUCUUAAAAGCCAAAAGAGAGAAAAUUACAAUUUUACGGGGAGGAGAAAAAAAUCUGAAUUCUCAUUUUUGCUGCGUUCCUACUGAAGUGUUACUUGGUGGAAUUGUAUUGUUUCUGAUGAAAUCUCGGUAUACACUGAGAAAAAUUUGAGUUGUUUUUGUGCUCUCCACUCCCUCUUAGAGCUCUGCUUAUUUCUUUGUGCUCGUCUUUGCUUUUCUUUUUCAUCUCUUGUACUGUUUGUGUUUCUCCCUUCUGUCCUUGCUGAUGCCUUUUUUCCACUCCUCCUCCCAUUCCACUAAAAUUACCACCGUCAAGACUGUUAAAAUGACUCUGAGGUGUUUCCUUCCUGGACGGACUAAUUGGGGCUGAGAUCUUUAUAAUUCCCAGAGCUAUUUUCUUGGGCUGACCAAGUUGACUUCACUUUACACAUUACUGCUGGAAAGUUUGGUUCAGGGUAUCUCUCUCCCAGCCUAAUAUGGCAAGGUAGGCUCUGGCACUGGAGCAGUCCACGUGGCCCAUGUAGGUCGGUCAGGUGGCUGUAUGUGCCUGGAGUGACUGGAGAGUCAUUCUGGAUUUGCAAUAACUGAAGCUCAGCCUCCUUGCUAGCACUCUGCCCAUCUGUUAGAUAAGUUUGGAAAUAAAAAGUUAACUAUAAGCUAUUUAUAUAUAUAU